AAUUAGCAUGUGAUGCAAACAAACCGUUCAACAACAACAACAGCAUGAGGAAAAAUGCGUGAAAAGGCAAACAAACAAUAUUUGUAAAUACAAGAACAACUGCUGGCGGUACACAUUAUAAGAAGAUCACUUUAUUGGACGAGAAGUUGUUACGCCUACAAAUUUCAGACGUUGCAUCUUGAAGACAGCGAUCACUUCAUGAUCAUUCUCACUGGAAAGUGAAGAGAAAAUGGCCAACAGGGAGUGUAUAUUGGGAAAAUUGAAACCUUUCAAAGCAAUUGAUGAGUACUACAAUCUUCUGCCAGAGGACGAAGCAGCAACCCCCAAGUCAUUCACAAGAUUACAAAAGGGCUAUGAAAUCUUUUUUCUUUUUUUUGGCAAGCACAAUUCUGCUGCCAAAACCAAGAAUGCAUUCACAAUUAGCUUUGAAUAUGAUAAUGGAGAACAGUGGAAGUUUUUGAAAGUAAGAAAAUCAGUCUUGGAGAGGAAGGAAAGAGAUCCGUGAUAACAGAUGAUAUUUUAAAGCACUAUCUAGAUAAACCUCUGUAUCCACAUAUGUGCAAGUAAUCUCGCAUCAACAAAUAUGUGUUGUAGCAGUGAGAAAGCUCAUUUUCAAAUGUGUGUUUUUGGAUAUCAGACCAACCAUGACAUUUAUAAGCAGUCCUUUAGAUUUGGUUGAACACAGUACAUGUACAUUAGUCAGGAAGAUUUAAUCAUAACUGCCACCAACAAAGUUGAAGU